rnacentral:rRNA from 1 species
GACGUAGGGCGCGAGCGUUGUCCGGAUUAUUGGGCGUAAAGAGCUCGUAGGCGGCUUGUCGCGUCGACUGUGAAAUCCCGCGGCUCAACUGCGGGUCUGCAGUCGAUACGGGCAGGCUAGAGUUCGGUAGGGGAGACUGGAAUUCCUGGUGUAGCGGUGAAAUGCGCAGAUAUCAGGAGGAACACCGGUGGCGAAGGCGGGUCUCUGGGCCGAUACUGACGCUGAGGAGCGAAAGCGUGGGAGCGAACAGG